rnacentral:rRNA from 1 species
UGAGGAAUAUUGGGCAAUGCCCGCAAGGGUGACCCAGCAACGCCGCGUGGAGGAUGAAUGUCGUAAGAUUGUAAACUCCUGUUAGAGGGGAAGAAUAGUACCGGUUGGACCGGUAUAUGACUGUACCCUCAGAGAAAGCCCCGGCUAACUACGUGCCAGCAGCCGCGGUAAUACGUAGGGGGCAAGCGUUGUCCGGAUUUACUGGGUGUAAAGGGCGCGCAGGCGGGAUAAAAAGUCAGUGGUGAAAUCCUACAGCUUAACUGUAGAACUGCCUUAGAUACUUUUAUUCUUGAGUUCGGGAGAGAGAGACGGAAUUCCAGGUGUAGUGGUGAAGUACGUAGAUAUCUGGAAGAACACCAGUUGCGAAGGCGGUCUCUUGGUCCGACACUGACGCUGAGGCGCGAAAGCGUGGGGAGCAAACA